GACUCUCGGCAACGGAUAUCUCGGCUCUCGCAUCGAUGAAGAACGUAGCGAAAUGCGAUACCUGGUGUGAAUUGCAGAAUCCCGCGAACCAUCGAGUCUUUGAACGCAAGUUGCGCCCGAGGCCACUCGGCCGAGGGCACGCCACCCUGGGCGUCA
rnacentral:rRNA from 1 species